CACCCUUAUAUUCUAUGACAUAUUCUGACGUAGUGUAGUAACACAACAGGAUACACACAUUGUUUAUUUUCCUCAUAGUGCUUAUAGCGUUCAGAUUAACCAUAAUGCUGCUGAAAGUUUUAAUUUUCACGGCGUGUAUUUGUUUGGCCGCCGAGGCAUAUCAACUACGAAGAAAAAUUUACAGAAGUCCAGCGAUUUCGUGUUCAUCUUCACGUGAUUGUCCCAUAGGCUCAAGUUGUAGAAACGCCAAUGGUCAGAUUCUUUACACACAGGAAGGUCCAUUCGGUCCUAUAGAGUUUCUUGGUGGUAACAAUCAAGGUACUUGUGGUGCAGGAGCUCAGCCUAAUGAAGUUUGUGUUAGAUCAUCGGAAUGCCCAGCAGGUUAUGAAUGUUAUCGUGAAAUGAGCGGGGCGUGUUGUCCACCAUCACAUUGUGUAACCCAGCAAUAUGCACAAGAGAGAAGAGAUUACUGGGCAAAUUGUCAACCACCAAAUUGUUUCUUUCCAGCUAAAUAAUGGCGUUAUAUUUAAUCAGGCUUUUAACUGACUCUGUAUACAAUCGUAUAAUCUUCUUAUUUAUUUAUGAUUACAUUGUCACUUUGUAAAGUGCCCUUGAAUAUGUUAUAUGAAAGGGCGCACUAUAAAUAUGCUGUAAUAAUAAUAAUAAUAAUAUGUAUUGCAGAAAUUUCACAAAUAAACAAUCUGUAUGGA